CCCUUAGAUGUUCUGGGCCGCACACGCGCUACACUGAAGGAGGCAGCGUGUACUCCUGGAUCGAAAGAUUUGGGUAACCCGCGAAUCUCCUUCGUGCUAGGGAUUGAGGUUUGCAAUUAUCCUUCAUGAACGAGGAAUUCCCAGUAAGUGCAAGUCAUGAGCUUGCGCUGACUACGUCCCUGCCCUUUGUACACACCGCCCGUCGCACCUACCGAUUGAAUGGUCCGGUGAAAUCUUCGGAUCUGAGAGAUGUCUGAUUAAUUUCGGACGCCUUUUGGAAAAGUUGUUUAAACCUUNCNAUUUAGNGGAAGGUGAANUCGUANCA
rnacentral:rRNA from 1 species